CAACAACCUGUUGCCAUGUAUGGCGAUUUGUAUCAGUCACAAGCACACAACCCCUGCUAGUAUUAAUGGUGUUUAAAACGUUCUACACGUACGGCGGACCGCAUCCGUCGCAAGCACGCGCAUAUAACCCCCAAAUGCACAAUGAUGAGAAGCACAGCCACGCGUCAAAAAACUUUAAAAACAUCGUUAUCCAAUAUCAUUAAAAACCACACCGAAAUUUACACAGGUAGCACGUCACCGUGUUAGUGUCACCCACUGUACACAAGGCGUGUCGUAUAUGUAGUAUAGGUAUUUGAUGAGGCGGAAGCAUAUCCCGCUUCCAGCGAACGGAAAUAAGAAUCAUCCGUUCCAGCAUUUAUUCAAAGGGGGCACAGAGGAUUCACAUUGUUUAGAGAGAGUUUUUCUUAGUCACCAUUCCAUACUUGGGCAGUAUUGGCCUACGAUUUGGGCGACGUUUCAGGCUGGUCUAUUCUCCGUCCACUUUUCCCCGGCUAUUCUGUCCCAGCAUAGGCUCUUGAAAUAAACAAUGUUUACCGAGUAAAA
rnacentral:misc_RNA from 1 species